UACAUCUAACCCCCGAAAUCUUAUGAGCUGUAAUCCUUUUGUUCAGCACCCAUUAAUUAAUGUAUCAAUAUUAUUAAUAAAAAGAAUUACAGAGGCUACAUACCUUCCGCAUCAGAUAAUAGCUGGUUUUUCAUUAACCCAGUAUAAGCUGACCAAACUGAAAACAAAUUCAGUUAUGUUACUACCCCGAGGACAAGCCCGGAGUACACCCUUCAUUACCCUAAAAAUCAAUAAAAAAGUAGGCUCGAAACCAGCCACCUGAAAUAUCGUUAUAGUAAAAACAAAUUAAAAAUUUUACCUUAAUAUUCUAAAAUGAAAUAUGAGUAAAACCCUAAUACUCAACAACUAUGCAAUGAUUAGUAUUUCCCCUAAAUACAGAGAAGGAACUCGGCAAAUCCAAGCCCCGACUGUUUAACAAAAACAUAGCCUGUUGCAUAAAAAUAAUAACAGGUAAAUCCUGCCCAGUGAGAAAUUUAACGGCCGCGGUACCCUGACCGUGCAAAGGUAGCAUAAUAACUUGCCUCCUAAUUAGAGGCUAGCAUGAAUGGACCUACGAGAGCUAAGCUGUCUCCUCUGUACCUCUAAAAAUUUACCUCCAGGUGAAGAGGCCUGGAUAUUUAUAAAAGACAAGAAGACCCUGUCGAGCUUUAAUCUAAAUUAAUACCUGGUUUUAAAAAUACCUCCAUUUAUCAAUGAUUUUUGUUGGGGCAACAAAGGAAUAAAACCAUCUUCCUGCAAAUUUAAGAAAAUCCUUCUCAUCAAUGAUCCACUCUGUGAUUAACAAAUCUAGCUACCGCAGGGAUAACAGACUAAUCUUCCUCAAGAGCCCAAAUCUACAGGAAGGCUUGGCACCUCGAUGUUGGCUUAGGAAAUCUUUUAGGCGCAGCCGCCUACAAAAGAAGGUUUGUUCAACCUUUAAUAUCUUACAUGAG
rnacentral:rRNA from 1 species